UAAACAUUUUGCUCACCUCCAGCCUGGUGUGUCCCGUUAAAUGUUGUACAAGUCAUGGAACCACCCUGUAGAGAAGGUGUAACUACCAUGAAUACCUUUGCAAAAUGCACUUUAAGCAAUAUUCCCCAAAGAGGUGUCAUGGCCUAUGUCCCUGAUGUUCAUACCACAUUUAGCAUUUCUUGGUAUCGUUGGAUAACUCGUUCAACGAAGCGUAAAAGGUUUAUUCACUAUAUAUUAUAUAGCAAACUGUAAGGGAUUAAAAGUGAGUUUCAAAUUUUAGUCCUAAACCUGAUUUGAAAACAUAGCUGAUUUGAUGGAUUUUGAAAUUCAUAUUUAAAUUCCUAUCAAUUAAAAUUUUCCGAAGAACACAGUAAGUGAUAGAUUCAUUAGAAGAUUUCACGGGCCAGAACGGUUAGUUGCAAUUGUAAACCUUUGCAAUAGUCAAGACUAACUCUAAAAUCAUACUAUAUAAAGAAAAAUAUAUAUAUAUAUAUAUGCACAUUUUAUAAAAAGAGAGAGUCAUGACACUGAUAGAAGAUCAUAUGAAAUAUAUGUGCCUUACGGGAGCAAAACCACAGCCCCCAGGCAUAACGAAUGGAGUGCAAUCCAUUUUAACGAAGAAAUGUAUAUUAUACUUAUGUUUAACUUAACAGAAGCACAUCAUAUUAAUGACACCCUGAAUGUCAACUGUGUUGAUAAACAAGGUGUCAUUUAAAGCUAAAUUAGUGUGUAUCACUGUUUGUCUAUUAAACAUCUGAAACGAUUCACAUCAGUCAGGUUGAGAUCGGAGGAACAUGUUUCGGAGCGAGUGCAAAGAUUCCUAUAAUGCUUACAGAAUGAUGCUCAUGAAUGACUGAUCGCAACACAGAAAGGGAAUCUACUGCCUGAGAAGCCAUGCCACAUGAUGAAUGAAUGGUCAAAAAUGUUCACCCGCCCCCCCCCUUGUAGUUAAUAUGCCAUGGAAUACAGCUAUAUGGAUGGAAUGUUCUGGAGGUGUUGUAGGAAAAUGUUUCAGUCCUGUGACAAUUUGGACAGAAGUUUAGAUGACAUUUUUGCGGUUGAUUAAUUGCCUGUGCAUGAUUAUGCGUGUAUUGACCUACAUAAUCGAUCCAUACACAGGUCUAUACGUGUCAUUUGACACAAUGUCAGGAGAUGACAUUUGUUGAAUCCAUACACAGCAGGCGCAGUUGGCAAAAUUACCUUUAACCCUUUAAGUGCUAGAGGUGUGCCCAAAAUAUUACAACCUCAAAAGACCAAACCCUUCUACAGAGGACAAAAAAAAAAGUCACCAGCAAUCCUGCUGCAUUCUCUGCCCUCCUUAUUUAAUCCCUUGACUGCUUAUAAGGAUGUGGUUUGUCUUCAGGCAGGCAAAGGGUUAAGUGCCAUAGCUUACACCUCCAGCUCCAUUCAGUCUCAGCAUCACAGAACAUUUUAUACUCACCUUUGUAUAUUAUAUAUAUUUGUUUCAUACAAUAAAAAAAAAGGAACAACUGUAAUAUUCAGC